UUUACGUUGAGUCUGUUCUAGCCACUGGCUAACAAGAAUGAUGCUAAGUAUCCAAGAACAGUACUACGUAGCAGCUCUGUGGCUGUAGGUUAUAAAAGCACAGCGGUCUCAAGCAGCCUUGUAGCAGUCGGCUCGGUUUAGGGGCAAGUGAGUUGUGCUGUAGUUAGCAUUAGCAUUGUGUCAGAGUCCCAGCAAAGCUUCUAGUAUUAUAGUUAUUUAGUUCUAGUAGCUUGGCUGUUAAUAUUGUAGUUAAGUGUUUUUUACAUGUUACACUUUCACCAACUUGAUGUGAAUUUUAACUGGUUUGAAGAGCAUUUCACAUUAGUCCAAGCCAUUCCAGUAAUUAGCCGGAUCCCACCAACUGCUGCUUCCUCAAAACGGAGAUUUUAGGUCCAAUUUGAGACUGAUGUCAUUUUCCACCAGCCUGGACCGGUCCAGGCUAGAAGUCUAGCAGCAGUAUGUUGCGACACUGGGACCAUGAUGGGAAUUCCACCCAGAGCAGCUUCUACACUCCUGAACAGACACACUGUGUGGUGGAGCUUCUGAGCAGCUUCCAUCUGAAUGACAGGACAAGCUCCAUGAACUGAUCCAGGUUAAAUUAACUCAAGUAAUCUGCUGUCAGACUGACUGUUGCAGCUACAAAUGGUCCAGACUAACAUGAAGCCUUGCAGGUGUAGUAAAGCUUAUUGCUACACGUGUGUUGCUGCUGUGAGCUUGGAGCUAGAUUACAUCAUGACAUCAUGAAAGAGGCUACCGAUUCUGGCCCUGUGACACUUGGUAUCGCGUGAGCUGAUUCACCUGGACACUCAGCAAAAUAUGGACUCUACACCAUGAGGCUGGCACACGUCAAGAUUCUAUAAGAGCACAUAAGCCUGGCUGACCACCUGAUAACUCCAGUCAUCUGGCUAUGACAGCAUGAGUGUGUCCUCACACACCUGUAACCUAUCAGCUCAUCUGGCAGAAUAGAGAGAAGAGACAACACCACAUCUCCUGUUCCUGGAAAGCCUUCAGUCAUCCUUCGAUGACUGAGAACCUCCAUCAGCUCCGUCUCCUGUCUGCCUACAAUUAUUAUAAUAAAUAUUGUGUUUGACAAGUUCUGUAUGCUGCCAAAAUGUCUCAUUUUAAUUCCAGUUUUUAUAUUUUAAUGGAUAUUUAUAAACUGCAUUAAUUGAAUUAUCACAUUGUUGCAUGUUUAACUAGCUCUAUUGUGAUGAAUUAAACUAGUACCUCACUGUUAAAAGCUUGUUUAAAACUCAAGCGUGUUUAAAUAUUUAUGGACAUGAACAAAAACAGGAAAUAUAUCAAUUGAGAUUUAUUUGCAUAAUAUAACAAAUAACUGUUUUAAGGGGGAAGGAAUCAUUCAAAGGCACAAUCUUCUGGAAUCUCCUGAUCCUAACCACACCACCAGAGGAGACCCAGCUGCAGACGCUUGAGGAUCACCUACGACCAAGAGAAAGCUGGUAUCAGUAAUGAAAUCAGGGCAAUUUUAGGUGGAUGUUUGUGAUUGUGUAAAAUAAAUGAACACAUUACAGAA